CCCUUAGAUGUUCUGGGCUGCACGCGCGCUACACUGAAGCGUUCAACGAGUAUUUCACCUUGCCCGGGAGGGUUGGGUAAUCUUUUUAAAACGCUUCGUGAUGGGGAUAGAUUAUUGCAAUUAUUAAUCUUCAACGAGGAAUUCCUAGUAAGCGCGAGUCAUCAGCUCGUGCUGACUACGUCCCUGCCCUUUGUACACACCGCCCGUCGCUACUACCGAUUGAAUGAUUUAGUGAGGACUUCGGACUGGGACCGAUGCGGCUUUCGGGCUGCGUCGGUAUUCUGGAAAGAUGUCCAAACUGUAUCAUUUAGAGGAAGUAAAAGUCGUAACA
rnacentral:rRNA from 1 species